CUACGGGGUGCACCAGUGGGGAAUAUUGCACAAUGGAGGAAACUCUGAUGCAGCAACGCCGCGUGGAGGAUGACACUUUUCGGAGCAUAAACUCCUUUUAUAUAGGAAGAAGAUGACGGUACUAUAUGAAUAAGCGCCGGCUAACUCCGUGCCAGCAGCCGCGGUAAUACGGAGGGCGCAAGCGUUACUCGGAAUCACUGGGCGUAAAGAGCGUGUAGGCGGAUUAAAAAGUCAGAAGUGAAAUCCUAUAGCUUAACUAUAGAACUGCUUCUGAAACUCUUAAUCUAGAAUAUGGGAGAGGUAGACGGAAUUUCUGGUGUAGGGGUAAAAUCCGUAGAGAUCAGAAGGAAUACCGAUUGCGAAGGCGAUCUACUAGAACAUUAUUGACGCUGAGACGCGAAAGCGUGGGGAGCAAACAGGAUUAGAUACCCGGGUAGUC
rnacentral:rRNA from 1 species